ensembl:lncRNA
AAUGGCCCUUUCUUACGUCUUUAUCCACACUGAUAUCUUGCUGAAGCUUUUACAGGCCCCGUUUCCACUUAAAUGCCUGAAGAUGAGCCAAGGAGGAGGACAGAAGAGAACAGCAGGCCAGUGGAGCACUUGGAACAGCGGAAUCCAGAGGAAACUGGUAGAGGGAAGAGGAUGAUUUAGGUGACCCAAACACAGGCCCAAAACAAGACGAGAGAGGAGGGUGGACAAGAGACAGCAACAUAUACGUCUAAGAGACAGCAACAGAAGAGGGCAGAAAAGACAGACAGCAACAGAUGACAAAGAGAAAGCGAUGGAGAGAGGCAGAGGAGGGGUGAGCACACAGUUGACUGUAUCACUUAAAGCUGCUCUAUCGAUUCGAAUUACUGCACAGUGUGAAUGUGCAUGUGUGUGAAAGAGAGAGGGUGUUUGGGUACUGUGGAAUUCUUUAAUCAGUAUGGUUCAUUGGACAGGUCAGAGUCCAUGUUUGACAUUGUUGAGUGGUAUGGAGGUUUUUGGCAACACACUGUAGAUGUAUGUGUUCCAGAGUAGGGAGUAGAGAAUGUUCCAGAGUAGAGAGACCCACAGUAGAGACUGUAAUUGAGUACUGGUAGUGUUUGCCGAAGCAGAUGGGAAGGUGCAAGUUACCUGAAAAAUAUGUUAUCAAAUUCAUGCAUUUAGCUCUUGAAAUUCCUUCUUUUUAUAUGCCCGGGGGAAGAUGCCCCCAGAACCCUCUACUGGCUUUGGGCUAAACAGCAUAUCGAUUGCGCAACCAGGGGUGGAAAGACCUUGGAUCAUUGUUACUCUAACUUCCGCGACGCAUAUAAGGCCCUGCCCCGCCCCCCUUUCGGAAAAGCUGACCACGACUCCAUUUUGUUGAUCCCUGCCUACAGACAGAAACUAAAACAAGAAGCUCCCACGCUGAGGUCUGUCCAACGCUGGUCUGCCCAAGCUGACUCCACCCUCCAAGACUGCUUCCAUCACGUGGACUG